ACUUGAAAUUUCUAUUAAACCAAUUGAUGCAAUGAAGUUAUUUAAAGUUCGGUUAUUGGUUGGUUUUAGAUUGAAAUGGCUUAGGUUUGUUAAAUAGUUGUUAAGGGUUAAAGAAAUUGUACUUGGAUUGGUUACUAGAUGCAAUUAGCUUAAUCAGCAGGUUAUUGAAAAUAAGCUAAAUAUAGUUUUGAAAUCUGGAUUGUGAGUUGGGUUAAGUGGCAUGUUAGUUUGUUUGAAGUGUGAAGUUUGAUGACUGAAAUUAGUUUGUGAUUAGCUGAAUCCAAAUUCUUCAAUGUGCAGGUGCAAGUUUUUCAUUGUUGAGGUAUCAAAUACCAUCAUGCAAGGUGAGGGCUGCAUUGUUUCUACUUAUUUGAAUUUCCUGAUAUCGACUUUUGUAAAGGUUGCAUCUGAUCUCGCUCAAGAGCUUGUUGGAGUUGGAUGACCUAUUGUUGCUCCUUAUUCUGCUGUCAGCAAUGUUAUUCCUCUUGUUGUUGUUGUUACUAUAGCUAAAGAGCUUAUUGAAGAUUUUCAGCGGAUAAAAGCAGAUUCAUGGUGAUGGUUUGAACUGUUGUGAGCUGGAUUUAGGGAGGUUUUGGAGAUUGGAAGGGAUGGCGCUUCGAGAAGCAAAAUGGUUAUUAAGAGCAGCGAUUUGCUAUCCAAUAGGUGGUAAUCUUGAUCGUUCGGCAUAUCGGAAAUGACUAUCAGGAUUUGAUUCAAUCUAUACUGAGAAGGGAAGUCUCUUGACAACAGUCAAUUCCCACCAAUUUGACGAAACAGCAGUUCACAAUCUCGUUACAUUCUUCGAAAGUUGACACUUUUUGGAUGGAGUCAUGUUUGACGGAUGAAACAAACCAAGUUCCAAUCAAGAUCUCGAUGGCUUCUUUGAUGCUUAAAAAUGGUUCUGAAUCGUAUCCUGCUUGUAGGAGCUCACCAUAUCAGCAUGUAGUUUUAUUUGGUUUUUUCUUUUAACCUCUUCAUAGAAAUUAUUCUUGCCAUUUGAAAGAACUCAUCUCUAAAUGAUAUUAGUUCAAUUAAUAGCAAGUCUUACUAUUAGAAAA